UUCCCCAUGCAUACAUAACUGUCUACUAGAAAACAAUUUAAAGGCAAAAUAACAGGAUAUCUCUGAGGAACUAAGCAUUUCCAGGUCCAGAACUAAUGAACUUCCAGAGGACACAUGAAUAAUGAUUACUUAUAGCUCAUGAGCAAGAACUACAUAUAGUCAUCAGGUACUUGGCCAUGGCCCUCUGACCCCCGAGACCUAUUCCUACCAGAAUCUGGGGGUAAACUGGAGCCAGCCUCUGUUUUCGCCUCUCCAGUGCCAUGUGGGAAGGGGAAGUUGGGCAUAAAGCGCUUAAGGAACCGAAACUCACUAUUGCCAGUGCCAGUGGCCGAGCACAUUUCAUAGGGACAUGGCUGAGAUAAAGAUCCAUUGGCUCCUUCUUGUACCAAGUUGUUAGGGAAAUUACAGUCAUCAUAGAAAUGCUCUUGAACUGUGAACUUUUCUCUAUAUUUAACCUUCUGGUAGAUGUGUAUAACAAAGAUCACUGUGACAGAGAGGAGAAAGAGAAAGGAAAGCACAGCCAGAGAAAUGACCAAAUAUUUAGUGGAUGGAUUUACCCUUGUAGGAUGCUUGGAUGGAUCCCGAAACUGUAGAUAGGGCUCAGAAAACCCAUCUACCAGCAAAAUGUUGAGUGAGGCAGUAGUGGAAAGAGCUGGUUGGCCAUGAUCCUGAACAAGAAUUGUAAGUUUCUGAACCACGGGGUCUCUUUCAGCUAUCUGCCGCAGUGUACGGAUUUCCCCAUUUUGUUGUUGAACAGAGAAUAACCCAGUGUCAGUGGCCUUAAGGAGAUGAUAUGAAAGCCAAGAAUUCUGACCUGAGUCACCGUCCACAGCCACUACCUUGGUCACCAGGUAGCCUGCCUCUGCAGACCUGGGCACUAGGUCAUUGCAGGGCAAGGUGCCAUUCUGCAGUGGGUACAAGAUCAUUGGGCGGUUGUCAUUGUCAUCCAGAACAACCACUCUGACAGUAACCUGGCUACUCAGUGACAGGAAGCCCCCAUCAGUUGCCUUUACCACAAACUGAAAUUUUUGAAUGGCCUCAUAAUCCAUGGUUCUCAGUGCAUAGAGCUUCCCAUUGUCUGAAUUUAUGGAGAUGUAAGCAAAGACUGAUAAAUCUCCACUUUCUGGAGGAAGCAGAGUAUAUGUUACUUGGGCAUUCUCACCCAAAUCUAGAUCCUCAGCAUGAACUUUGCCAAUAAAAAUUGCAGGGCUGUUGUUUUCUCGAACAGUCAAAAUGUAUGAGUCUUCCUGAAAUAUUGGGGGAUUGUCAUUAAUGUCAGAUAUUAGCACCUCAAUCACAGUUUCUGUGAACAGACUGGGUGGCCCAGUAUCCAUGGCAACAACGGUGAUAUUGUAGCCUGAGACCUCUUCCCGAUCCAAGACUCUGUCAGUAACCAGAGAGUAAGAAUUCCGGAAAGUAGGUUUGACUGCAAAGGGAAGGUCUUCUCUGAGGAAGCAGAUGAUUUUUCCUCCCACUCGAAUGUCCCGGUCUCGGAUAGAGAAAAGGGCCACUACAGUCUCUAAUGGGGAGUCCUCAGGGAGAGGGCUGGACACAGAGGAGAUUGUCACUUCAGGAGGAUUGUCAUUAACAUCCACCACUUCCACCAGGACUUUGCUGUGGGCAGAGAGGCCCCCUCCAUCGGUGGCUUGAAUGUCAAUAUCAUAUGUUUCAAUUGCUUCAAAAUCUAGGGGCCCUCUUAGUCGAACAUCCCCAGUCUGCGAGUCAAUCUGAAACAUCUGGAGAAUUGCUUCUGGGUUUUGAGCUAAGGAAUAAGUUAUAUCCUUGUUGGAGCCCUCAUCCAGGUCUGUGGCACUCACAGUGACCACCAAAGAACCAUUGGCACUAUUUUCUAGUACCUGAGCGCGGUACACCAAUCUGGAGAACUGAGGCACGUGGUCAUUGACGUCCAGAACGACCACACGGAUGUGAGCGAUGCCAGAUUUGGGAGGGGACCCGCCAUCCACCGCUGUAAUUGUCAAGUUGACUUCAGGCUGCUCCUCUCUGUCCAGGGGCUUAUCCAGCACCAGCUCAGCGUAUUUGGGCCCAUGGCUGCGAAAGCGGGUAUGCAGGUGGAAAUACUUGUUGGGGCUUAAGGUGUAGUUUUGGAGACCAUUGAGGCCCACGUCCAGAUCCUGGGCACUCUGCAGAGGAAAACGUGAACCCAAGGGGGUACUCUCCGGAAUCUUUAAAAGCGGCUCCUUGUUUAGGAAAAUCGGGGCAUUGUCAUUGAUAUCAAAUACCCUGACCUCGACACGAAAGGACUGCAGUGGCUCCACCAAGACUAUUUCAAAAUGCAGAACACACGGGUCAGCUUUGCCACAGAGUGACUCCCUAUCCAGUUUCUCCUUCACGAACAGAUCCCCUGUCUUGCGGUGGAGCCGGAAGUGCACUUUGUUGCCCUCGGGAACCAGCCGCGCCCCGCGCGCAGCCAGCUUCCCUACCUCCAGCCCCAGGUCCUUAGCCACAUUAGCCACAAACGAACCGCUCUCCAUCUCUUCUGCCACGGAGUAGCGGAUGGUUGCUGCACUUCCCACAGAUAUGCACACAAAAAAGAGAAGAGACCCUACUUGCCUGUUCUGCAUGAGCUUUCUGUGCGCAACCGCCAUCCGGUCUCACAAGCGCACUCUCU
rnacentral:lncRNA from 1 species